GCUCACGUAGGCAAAUUGGCAAAGCCGGAAAUCUUAAAAGUUUUUGUUUACGGGUUCGAGUCCCGUCGUGAGUAC
rnacentral:tRNA from 1 species